rfam:Oryza glumipatula chromosome 11, whole genome shotgun sequence.
AAAGACUCAAUUCCUAAGUUUCCGUAUCUAACGUUUAACUAUCCGUUUUAUAUGAAAUUUUUUUAUAAUUAGUAUUUUUAUUGUUGUUAAAUGAUAAAACAUGAAUAAUAUUUUAUGCGUGAUUUAUCUUUUUAAUUUUUUUCAUAAUUUUUUUAAAUAAGAUGAACGGUUAAAGGUUGAACACGAAAACCUAGGAAUUGAGUUAUU